UACGUAGGGUGCAAGCGUUAAUCGGAAUUACUGGGCGUAAAGCGUGCGCAGGCGGUUUUGUAAGUUUGUCGUGAAAUCCCCGGGCUCAACCUGGGAAUUGCGAUGAAGACUGCAAGGCUAGAAUCUGGCAGAGGGGGGGUAGAAUUCCACGUGUAGCAGUGAAAUGCGUAGAGAUGUGGAGGAAUACCGAUGGCGAAGGCAGCCCCCUGGGCCAAUACUGACGCUCAUGCACGA
rnacentral:rRNA from 1 species